UUCGGUGGUUACAGCGAGGAGGAAACACCCGUUCCCAUCCCGAACACGGAAGUUAAGCUCUUCAGCGCCGAUGGUACUGCAUGGUAAAAUGUGGGAGAGUAGGACGCCGCCGGAA
rnacentral:rRNA from 1 species